rnacentral:rRNA from 1 species
CAGUCAUAGGAGCCUGUUCCGGUCAGGCCAAGGCCAAAGAAGGGCAUGUUCCAGUCCCAUAAUCGGUGGGGCGCCCCUCCGUGGCUCUGAGGCCUUGUCGCCCUCAGUGUCCAUCGGAGCAUAAUGCGUAUAAAUAAUUGGGCAUUCCGAUAUAUAUAAUUAUUGGCCCUUUGCGCCAA